rnacentral:rRNA from 1 species
UACGUAGGGGGCGAGCGUUGUCCGGAUUUAUUGGGCGUAAAGAGCGUGUAGGCGGCCAGGUAGGUCUGCUGUGAAACUCGAGCUCAACCUCGAGACGUCGGCGGAAACCAUCUGGCUAGAGUCCGGAAGAGGAGAGUGGAAUUCCGUGGUGUAGCGGUGAAAUGCGCAGAUUAUCAGGAAGAACACCCGUGGCGAAGGCGGCUCUCUGGGACGGUACUGACGCUGAGACGCGAAAGCGUGGGGAGCGAACAGGAUUAGAUACCC